rnacentral:lncRNA from 1 species
UGCCAGGAAGAGUGCUCUUUUGGUGGCGCCUCUAAAUACAAUAUGUAGAUGCAGCAUCAAUGUGGAAGACAUAGGAAAACAUGGAGGCUGUUUUGAGCUCUGACCUGCACUCGGUUCCCUGGCUUCAGUUGGAAGUUUCUCUUUCCAUUGCUCCUAUUUUAAAGGAAACAGAAGGAAGUAUCUCCACGCAGCUGCCAUCUGAGGCCAAUUGCUGAUGCUGGACGGGCUCCCGAGACCUAGCAUUCAGGCUGCACAUCGCUGCUCUGAUCGCUAGGGACUCGUGGGUGAAGUCUUCUCCAGCUCCUCCACGUUCCUGUGUAGGAUCCAGAAAUUAUGGAGUCCAUCUGAAUCCCCCGGAGAACGAUGCGACCAGGUUCUGCUUAAGGAGCAAUUGCUGGCUGGUGUUGAUUCCUUUCACCUUGAGUUCUGCGUUCCAGCAACGACCCCAAAUUCAAAGCAAAGCUCUACGGCUUAGGCGUUCAUACUCCGCUAUAUGA